rnacentral:tRNA from 1 species
UGGAAUGUAGCUCAGUGGUAGAGCAAUGUAUAUAAACUAUGCGCCGCAGGUUCGAUUCCUGCCAUUCCGA